rnacentral:rRNA from 1 species
UACAUAGGGGGCAAGCGUUAUCCGGAAUUAUUGGGUGUAAAGGGUGCGUAGACGGAGAAACAAGUUGGUUGUGAAAUCCCUCGGCUCAACCGAGGAACUGCAACCAAAACUAUUUCCCUUGAGUGUCGGAGAGGAAAGUGGAAUUCCUAGUGUAGCGGUGAAAUGCGUAGAUAUUAGGAGGAACACCAGUGGCGAAGGCGGCCUACUGGACGGUGACUGACGCUGAGGCUCGAAAGCGUGGGGAGCAAACAGG